rnacentral:rRNA from 1 species
UACGUAGGGGGCAAGCGUUGUCCGGAAUCAUUGGGCGUAAAGAGCGUGUAGGCGGUCCGGUCAGUCGGUUGUGAAAGUCAAGGGCUCAACCCUUGAAUGCCGGCCGAUACUGCCGGGCUAGAGUCCGGAAGAGGUGAGUGGAAUUCCUGGUGUAGCGGUGAAAUGCGCAGAUAUCGGGAGGAACACCAAUUGCGAAGGCAGCUCGCUGGGACGGUACUGACGCUGAGGCGCGAAAGCGUGGGGAGCAAACAGG